GUUUCCCCAAGGAUAUGCAUACCAGAAUUGUAGACUACAUUAUUUUCUUUGCUUUUCUCAUGUGGGUGCCUUUCCCCCAUGAGAUCACAGUCCCCAGAGGAAUAGCUCCUGACAAUAAAGAAACUGAAGAUAAGACAACAUUUCUCCUGAAAUAGAAGAGAUGGAGUUGUAUUAGAAACGGUAGUGUUUAUUGCAUAAUAAUAAUUGGAAUUACAACUUAUUGAGUGCUCAUAGAUGAUAAUUGUCAUGCUAGAGCAUAACGUUAAUUCUUAUUUAAUCCUCACAGCUACUCUGAGGUAAGUACUCAUGUCAUUUCCAUCUUACAGAUGAAGAAACAGGCUCAAAGAGGUGAAAAUAGUCUGGGCACAGUGGCUUACACCUGUAAACACAGCACGUUGGGAGGCUGAGGCAGGAGGAUCACUUGAGCUCAAGAGUUUGAGACUAAUCUGGGCAACGUGGCAAGACCUUGUCUCUACAAAAAAAUUUAAAAAUAAGCCAGGUGUGGUAGUAUGCACCUGUGGUCUCAGCUACUCAGGAAGCUGAGGUGGGAGGAUCACUUGAGCCCAAGAGGUCAAGGUUGCAGUGAACUAUGAUCGUGCCACCACACUCCAGCCUGGGUGACAAAAAGGAAAGAAAAAAGAAAAAAAAAAGAGGUGAAAUAACUUGUCCGAGUUCAAAUCAUGAAUACAUUAGCCAGAUUUUGAACUGAGGACUGACUCUAGAAUGGAAGUUCUUCAUUGCUGUGUAAUGUAGGGUGAACAUGCAGGCUUUGAGUUCCAGUACCUGUGGUCAUUAAGAGUGAGCUGAUUUUUUUCAAUCUUCCUUUAGUUAUAACUGCCAUCACCAAGUCUAGUUUCUCUUUAUCUUCUUGAUUCUUACUAGCGACCUUAGUAAGCUGUUUUAUUUGAAUCAUAAGGUCUAGGCGCGUUUCCCUCCCCCAAAGUUUGUGAUCAGUUUCAUAAUUGUAUAGAUUUGAGUUUGUAUGUUAGCACUAUUGUGGUGUUAUAGUUCAUUGUAGAUACAAUGCUUACAGUUUGGGGACCUAUCUCUAGGCGAAUGGAUUGUGCCUUGAAACAUGGUUGCAUAACAGGUUUGUUGUAGAGAGAGCUAAAUAUCCUUUAAAAAUAAAUGUUGUUUAUGUAAUAAUUUCCACACCACAUCAGCCUUCCCUAGUGAUAAAUAGUAGGCUGAAUAAUGACCACCCAAAUAUAUUAGCUCCUUAUCCCCAGAACUUGUAAAUAUUACCUUAUAAGGAAAAGGAAUAUUUGCAGAUGUGAUUAAAUUAAGGAUCUUGACAUGGGGGGGUUAUAUCUGGGUGGGCGCUAAAUACAAUCACAAGUGUCCUUAUAAGAGAGAGGUGGCCGGGCGCGGUGGCUCACGCCUGUAAUCCCAGCACUUUGGGAGGCCGAGGCGGGUGGAUCACGAGGUCAGGAGAUCGAGACCAUCCUGGCUAACACGGUGAAACCCCGUCUCUACUAAAAAUACAAAAAAUUAGCCGGGCGUGGUAGCGGGCGCCUAUAGUCCCAGCUACUCGGGAGGCUGAGGCAGGAGAAUGGCAUGAACCCGGGAGGUGGAGCUUGCAGUGAGCUGAGAUCGCGCCACUGCACUCCAGCCUGGGCAACAGAGCGAGACUCCGUCUCAAAAAAAAUAAGAAAGAGAGAGAGGCAGAAGGAGACACAGACAAGGUGGAGACAAUGGACAUGGAGGUUAUAUCUGGGUGGGCCCUAAAUACAAUCACAAGUGUCCUUAGAGAGGCAGAGGAAGACACAGACAACAUGGAGACAAUGUAAACACAGAGGCAAAGAGUGGAUAGAUUCUUCCGUAGAACCUCCUGAGGGAGAGCACAGCCUGCUGACCCCUUGAUUUCCACCCAGUGAAGCUAAUAUUGAACUUCAGGCCUCCAGAACUGUGAGAGAAUAAGUUUCUGCUGUUUUAAGCCACUAAGUUUGUCAUCGUUUUUAUGGCAGCAACAAGGGACUAAACAAUGAGGGUAGUCACUUAUCAUACUGCUUAGCUCAUUUUGAGAGAAAAUAUUAUGACUUAGUAAAGACAACAACCAACUAAUAUAACAUGUAUAAUAAUAAUUUCGGCAAACAUGUAUGUAGUCUUUACUAUGUGCCAGGCACUGGUGUAAGCAUUUGAAAUGUAUUUACUCAUUUAUUCUUCAUAGCAACUCCCAUAAUGGGGGUUCUGUUUUAAAUGGGAAGUGCACAGAGAAGUUAGUGUAUUGUUAGCAUUCAAUAAGAAAAAGAUGACUAGAAAUACCAAUAUUUGGAAAUUAAGCAGUACACAUAUAUAAUCCAUCACAGUGGAAAUUAGAAAAUAUUCCUGACUGAUAAUGAAAAAUACUAUAUAUAAACUUUUCAGUAAAUAAAGCUGAGCUUAGAGGAAAAUUUAUGGCUUUAAAUUCAUCUAAAGAAGUUAGGGGAAAAAACAACAAAUUAAAUCUGAAGAAGGUAGAAGGAAAGAAAUAAUAAAGACAAGAACAGGAAUUAAUGAAAUAGAAAACACUUAUAGAGAGGAUAUACAAAGCCAAAAGGUGAUUCUUUUUAAAGACUGAUAAGACUGCUGCCGGGUGUAGUGGUUCACGCCUGUAAUCCCAGCGCUUUGGGAAGCUGAGGUGGGUGGAUCACUUGAGGCUAGGAAUUCAAGACCUACCUGGCCAACAUGACGAAACCCCGUCUCUACUAAAAAUACAAAAAUUAGCCAGGCGUGGUGGUACAUACCUGCAGUCCCAGCUACUUGGGAGGCUGAGGCACAAGAAUUGCUUGAACCCAGGAGGUGGAGGUUGCAGCGAGCCAAGAUUGCGCCACUGCAUUCCAGCCUGGGCGACACAGAGCGAGACUCUGUCUCCAAAAAAGAAAAAAAAAAAAAAGACUACAAAUCCUUAUAAAGACUGAUUGAGGAGAAAAAACGAAAGACAGAUAACCAAAAUCAGGAAUGAAAAGGAAGACAUCACUGCCGAUCCUAGAGGUAUUAUAAAGAAUACUUUUUUAAAUAAAUGAACUCCAAUUUCUUACUCUGGGUAAACAAAGCCCUGUCUCAUCUAAUUCAUACAUUCAUCUCAUUUUAUACAGUUUUCUCUCUCAUCUACUGUGCAGCCAUUAAACAUGCCAAGUUUGUUUCUCUCAUAGGGUCUUCAUUACCAACUAAUGCAAAGUAAUGCAAUGACUGUCUCCUUGUCUCAGAUUUAAAUAUAACCUCCUCAGAAAGGCCUUUCCUGACCACUCAAUCUAAGAGAGCAACCUGUUAUUCUUCAUAUCAUUCAAUUUUAAUUCCUUAAUUAGCUCAUGCUAUUUACUUCAUAAUUGUUUGCUCCCCACUCCAGACAUAAAACACAUCAGAGUAGGAUCUUUAUCUUGCUCAUCACUCUAUCCCAGAGUGCUCGAUAAAUAUUUGUUGAUUGAAGUACCAUCUUCUGAUUCAGUCACAGAGAGGUAGGCCAUGAGGGAAAUAAGGAAAAAAGUAGAAACAAGAAAUAAAGAAAAAUCAGAAACAAUUUAAGACCCUAUUGUGUGCAAAAGGGAAGUGGAAAGAAGAGACAAGAAAAUACAUAAAGGGGUUAAAAGAGAGGAAAAUAAUUAGAUAGUAUUGCUGUUGUGUUUUGGAAAAACUCUUAAUUAGAAGGAAAGGAACUAACUUUAUUAAGCUACCUCUAUGUAGGAAAACUAAAUUACCAGGUGAUGUGGGGGUUUUUUUUGAAAGAUUUUAUUUCAACUUACAGGCAUCACCAAAAUUAUUUUCCUCAUUUUCAACCUUUUCCUAGGAAGAAAAGAAAGUGAGUUAUUUUAUUCUAUAGAUGGAAAAACAAAAGCCUAUUUGUUUUAAUCAAGUAAAAUUGUCAAGGAUGACUGGCAGUGCCAUUCACUGAGAAGGAAUAUUAGAAGAAGUGUUUUGGAGGGAAAUCAUGAGUUUCAAUUUUAACAGGUUAAAAUUUAGAUAUUUUGAAAUAUCCAAGUAGAGGUGUUGACAAGAUAAUGGGAUACUUCACUCAGAGGAGAGGUCUGAGCUGAAGAUCUAAAUCUUUGAUGUAUGGAUGGUAAUUGAAGCCAUAGGCAUAGAUGUGAGUGUCUAGAGAGAAAGAACAGCAUAUGAAAAAAUGGGGUUUCAUGGAUGUAUCUUAAGGAGCUCCAAUAUUCAAUGGUUAGGUGGUACGAGACAAGCCUUUGAAGGAGACUGAGAAGGAAUGGUCAGGAGAAUAUGGUUUCAUGAAAGCCAAGGGUAUUUACUGUUUCAAGGAAAAGAAUGGUCAGCAGUGUUGAAUGCUGCUGAGACACCAAAGAAAAUGAGAAUUGAAAAUGUUUAUUACCUUUAGUGACAUUGAAGUCUCUGACCUCAGUGAAAGUAAUUUUAGCAGAGUGGAGAUGGAAUCUGAGUCAUUUUAACAUCCACAGUACCUUUCCGUAGAGUAGAUAUUUGAUAUGAUUUUUCAUUUUCUUUACCAUGAAAUGUAUAAUUAUGCAGAAGAAAGUAUAAUGUAUAUGUAGUAUUUGAAAAAUAAAGUGAACAACAUUUAUCCAUAACCCAACUUAGGAAACAGAACUUUAGAAGACACCCAUAUGCUCCUCCCUGUUUGCAUCUACCUUCUUCAUCUGCCCAGAUAUACCACUCUUAAACUGUUGUAAUAAGUUUUCCCGCCAGGUGCAGUGGCUCACGCCUGUAAUCCCAGCAUUUUGGGAGGCCGAGGCGGGUGGAUCACGAGGUCAAGAGAUCGAGACCAUCCUGGCCAACAUGGUGAACCCCUGUCUCUACUAAAAAUACAAAAAUUACCUGGGCGUGGUGGUGGGUAGCUGUAGUCCCAGCUACUCGGGAGGCUGAGGCAGGAGAAUCUCUUGAACCUGGGAGGUGGAAGUUGCAGUGAGCCGAGAUCGCACCACUGCACUUCAGCCUGGCGACAGGGUGAGACUCCAUCUCAAAAAAAAAAAAAAAAAAAAAAGUGGGCCGGGCGCAGUGGCUCACGCCUGUAAUCCCAGCACUUUGGGAGCCUGAGGUGGGUGGAUCACGAGGUCAGGAGAUCAAGACCAUCCUGGCUAACACAGUGAAACCCCAUGUCUACUAAAAAUAAAAAAAUAAAAAAAAUUUAAAAAGUCGGGCGUGGUGGCAGGCGCCUGUAGUCCCAGAUACUUGGGAGGCUGAGGCAGGAGAAUGGCAUGAACCCAGGAGGCGAGAUCGCGCCACUGCACUCCAGCCUGGGCCACAGAGCAAGAAUCCAUCUCAAAAAAAAGAGUUUUCCCUUGCUUUUCUUUUAUAGUUUUACAACAUAUGAGUGACUUCCUAAACAAUAUACUGUUAUUUUUACAAUAUACUUUUUUAGUUUUAACUGGUUUUGAACUCUGUAUAAAUGGAAUUAUACUGUAUUCAUUCUGAGUCUUGCUUCUUUUGUUCAGCAUUAUCUUUUUGAGAUUUGUCUGUGUUGAUACCUGAGAUUGUAUGUCAUUUUCACUGUUGUAUAGCAUUCCAUUGAAUUAACAUGCCAUAAUGUAUUUUUACAUUCUGCUUUUGAUUGGUAUUUGGGUCAUUUCCAGUUUUUUGGUUUUUUGCUUUAAAAAGCAAUUCCACCGUGAACAUCAUUAUCAUGUCACCUUAUGAAUAUGUGCAAGAGUUUUUCUAAGAUAGGUGUAUAGAUAAGAAUAGAAUUGCUAGGCCAUAUCAUAUGGGUAUGUUCAACUCUAUUGUGAAAUACCAAACUGUUUUCUAAAGUGAUUGAAUCAUUUUUUACUCCUACCCAUUCCAUGUGAACAUAACCAUUGCUCUGUAUCCUCCCCAGUGUUUGAUAUUGUCAGUCUCUAGAAUUGUUGCCAAUUUCAUGAGUAUGAAAUUUUAUCCUAUUGUAGUUUUAAUUUGCAUUUUCUUGAUUAUUAAUAAAGUGAAGUUUUUAAAUGUCUA
rnacentral:lncRNA from 1 species